UACGUAGGGUGCAAGCGUUGUCCGGAAUUAUUGGGCGUAAAGGGCUCGUAGGCGGUCCAUCGCGUCGGGAGUGAAAAGCUGGGGCUUAACCCCAGUCCUGCUUCCGAUACGGGUGGACUAGAGGUAGGUAGGGGAGAUCGGAAUUCCUGGUGUAGCGGUGAAAUGCGCAGAUAUCAGGAGGAACACCGAUGGCGAAGGCAGGUCUCUGGGCCACUACUGACGCUGAGAAGCGAAAGCAUGGGGAGCGAACAGG
rnacentral:rRNA from 1 species